rnacentral:rRNA from 1 species
UGGGGAAUAUUGGACAAUGGGCGCAAGCCUGAUCCAGCAAUGCCGCGUGAGUGAUGAAGGCCUUCGGGUUGUAAAGCUCUUUCGCCCGCGACGAUGAUGACGGUAGCGGGAGAAGAAGCCCCGGCUAACUUCGUGCCAGCAGCCGCGGUAAUACGAAGGGGGCGAGCGUUGUUCGGAAUUACUGGGCGUAAAGGGCGCGUAGGCGGCCCCUUUUGUCGCGUGUGAAAGCCCCGGGCUCAACCUGGGAACUGCGCGCGAAACGGGGGGGCUUGAGUUCGGGAGAGGAGAGUGGAAUUCCCAGUGUAGAGGUGAAAUUCGUAGAUAUUGGGAAGAACACCGGUGGCGAAGGCGGCUCUCUGGACCGAGACUGACGCUGAGGCGCGAAAGCGUGGGGAGCAAACAGGAUUAGAUACCCCCGUAGUCC